UAGGGAAUAUUGCACAAUGGGGAAGCCCUGAUGCAGCGACGCCGCGUGAAGGAAGAAGUAUCUCGGUAUGUAAACUUCUAUCAGCAGGGAAGACAAUGACGGUACCUGACUAAGAAGCCCCGGCUAACUACGUGCCAGCAGCCGCGGUAAUACGUAGGGGCGAAGCGUUAUCCGGAUUUACUGGGUGUAAAGGGAGCGUAGACGGAUCUGUAAGUCUGGAGUGAAAAGCCCCGGGGGCUCAAACCCCGGCAGCUGCUUUGGAAAUGACUGUGGAUCUAGAGUGCCGGAGAGGUAAGCGGAAUUCCUAGUGUAGCGGUGAAAUGCGUAGAUAUUAGGAGGAACACCAGUGGCGAAGGCGGCUUACUGGACGGUAACUGACGUUGAGGCUCGAAAAGCGUGGGGAGCAAACAGGAUUAGAUACC
rnacentral:rRNA from 1 species